GAUGAACGCCGGCGGUGUGCCUAAUACAUGCAAGUCGUACGCACUGGCCCAACUGAUUGAUGGUGCUUGCACCCUGAUUGACGAUGGAUCACCAGUGAGUGGCGGACGGGUGAGUAACACGUAGGUAACCUCGCCCCGGAGGCGGGGGAUAACAUUUGGAAACAGAUGCUAAUACCGCAUAACAAACAAAAGCCGCAUUGGUUUUUGUUUAGAAAGAUGGCUUUGGCUAUCACUCUGGAUGGACCUGCGGUGCAUUAGCUAGUUGGUAAGGUAACGGCUUACCAAGGCGAUGAUGCAUAGCCGAGUUGAGAGACUGAUCGGCCACAAUGGAACUGAGACACGGUCCAU
rnacentral:rRNA from 1 species